UACGAAGGGUCCUAGCGUUGUUCGGAAUUAUUGGGCUUAAAGCGCAUGUAGGCGGAUAGUUAAGUGUCUUGUGAAAUCCCCCGGCUUAACCGGGGAACUGCUGGGCAUACUGGCUAUCUUGAGGCAAGUAGGGGUGCAUGGAACUCUAGGUGGAGCGGUGGAAUGCGUAGAUAUCUAGAGGAACGCCGGUGGUGAAAACGGUGCACUGGGCUUGUUCUGACGCUGAGGUGCGAAAGCGUGGGUAGCGAACGGGAUUAGAUACCCCGGUAGUCCACGCCGUAAACGAUGUCUACUAGGUUGUGGUGGGUCUGACCCUGGCACAGCCGAAGCUAACGUGUUAAGUAGACCGCCUGGGGAGUACGGUCGCAAGGCUAAA
rnacentral:rRNA from 1 species